rnacentral:rRNA from 1 species
AUACGGAGGAUCCGAGCGUUAUCCGGAUUUAUUGGGUUUAAAGGGAGCAUAGGUGGAUUGUUAAGUCAGUUGUGAAAGUUUGCGGCUCAACCGUAAAAUUGCAGUUGAAACUGGCAGUCUUGAGUACAGUAGAGGUGGGCGGAAUUCGUGGUGUAGCGGUGAAAUGCUUAGAUAUCACGAAGAACUCUGAUUGCGAAGGCAGCUCACUAGACUGUUACUGACACUGAUGCUCGAAAGUGUGGGUAUCAAACAGGAUUAGAUACCCUGGUAGUCCACACAGUAAACGAUGAAUACUCGCUGUUUGCGAUAUACAGUAAGCGGCCAAGCGAAAGCAUUAAGUAUUCCACCUGGGGAGUACGCCGGCGACGGUGAAACUCAAAUGAAUUGACGGGG